CCGGCUGCUUCCAAUAAUUCCGGAUUGGGACGUGUACGGAAAUUGAAUAGAGCCGCCUGCUUCCAAUAAUUCCGGAGGUGUUCGGGAAUAGAGUGGCAACCACUUACGCUAGGGAGGCAAUUGAACACCUAGACCUGGACUCAUCAACUCAAGGGCCAGGAUCCACGGCUGUGCUUCUUUUCGAAGGAAGGCAUGACACCACCAAAGCAACCAAGGAAGUCAUCAAUCCCCACCAACUGACGAGUUUCGUUUGUGGUUCGACACAUGGACGGAGCAUUUGUGUUUUGCUAAAUUUUGCAAAUUAUUGGGGAAUUUCCCUAAAGUUUCACGCGGCCACCAGUUUUCACUCUUCCACAGGC